UUGAGACACCGUUUCCCGUACAAUCACCGAAGGUAAGCAACUUAGAGCCUGGUCAGUAGCUAGAUGGGUGACCACUUGUUAAUACCAGGUGUUGUAA